CCAAGUCCCUCCAAGGAAUCCCAAAUUCUAAUUUCCCCAAAACCUUUCUGGGUUUCAUCUGUUUUCUGGUUUGGUCCAAGCCUUUCAAUGCUUUGGACAAUUUGCUUGAUUGCUUUAUCGCCGCUAAUGCCAACUAACUUCCCAGCCAGCACAGUUUCCAGCUUUUCGGCUUUGGCAUUGUUGUGGGUCUUCUUGUUUCGGGGUUUUGAGAAGUCAAUGACUUCAUGGUGUUGAAGAAGAAGAGGACCCUUCAUCCAUGGAGCUGUGGGCGCUUUAAUACAAGCGUCAGUGCUUGAAUUAGGCUCUGAUGGAGCCUUCGAAUUCGGGGUUGUCCUGGUGGAGCUGAGUGAGAGAGAAUUGGGAGAUUUUGAGGGAAUUGGGUUAGUUGGUUUGGGGUUUUGUGGAGGUUUUGAGUUUAAGGCAGAUAAGAUGGGAUUGUAUGAAUGGAAUCGUG
rnacentral:lncRNA from 1 species